rnacentral:tRNA from 1 species
GCCCCUAUAGUUUAACGGUAGAACAUCGGUCUGCAAAACCGAGAAUCCUGAUUCGAGUUCAGGUGGGGGCUC